GACGUGACGGUGUAGCGCGGCCACUAGCUUCUUCGAAGCAGAAAGUAAUGUUACACACAAUAUUGAGCCUUUUCUUCAAUGUAUAAGAUCCAGUGGCCAGACUGCGGGUCUGGGACUGGGAACAAGAGUCUAAUGCAAAAACUGUAAAGGAAGUUAAGCACAGCUGCAAAUCCAAUCAGUGCUGCCCUGGCAGGCAGGCCUGCACAGCUGGGAGCUGGAAAUGCUCUUUUCCAAACACAAAUUGAUACCAAAUGGAGCAGAUGGAAGGAGGCCAGUUACAACGCAUGCCGUCAGAUCUCAGAGAAGAGUUUAGGAACUAGAAGCAUCACCAGAUGACUGAGCAUUGCUCAGAAAUUUCAGUUUGAAUGUGUGUGCGGACUGAUUCACUGAAGUACUUGCAAACUUUUUAUAAAACAGUGAAUUUGACUUUGUAAAUGGUGACCUGGUUCUUUGAGAAUUUGACAUAAUUCCUCACAGUCAGCAAGCCCACAAAGAGAUUACAGACCUAAAAGACCUAUUUUGGCAGGGAGUUUUGGAAGCUGAAGUAAAUGCAUCUGGAGAGCAGUAUAUAGGGCAGGGUGCUUUAAGUUAUAAAUAAUUAAAAACUGCUGUGAGAUUGUAGCUAACUAAGACUUCAGUUACUUGAGAUUUGUCAAAAGAGACAGAAAGAAAAUGUCAGAAAUGAUUUACUUCUUGCAUUUUAGCUCUUGAUGGAAGUGAAGGGGAAAGAAAUGGUAUUCAUGUUUUUGGCACAUGCAGCGGCAGAACUAUUAACACUAGCAAACCCCACACAUAGCCAAAUUCCCAAAUCCUGCUCUAAAUGCUGAGGAGCAAGCUUCCUGUGAUGUAGGUUUGUCCUCAAUGAUUAUUUUAAAUAAGUUUAGGACAAAUAGCUAAAGAUUAAGGGCCAGAUCUUUAGCUAGUACAAAUAAAUGUGGUUCACGGAA